CUUGGUCAUUUAGAGGAAGUAAAAGUCGUAACAAGGUUUCCGUAGGUGAACCUGCGGAAGGAUCAUUAAUGAUUUUAAAGCGAGUCGAAGCGUUAAGCGAGGCUUGCGAAGAUAUUUAAAACCCCACUCUUUUUAACUUUAAAAAAUAAAUCAUGAUACGUGAAUUUAAAAAAUAGAUCACUUUCAACAACGGAUCUCUUGGCUCUCGCAUCGAUGAAGAACGCAGCGAAAUGCGAUAAGUAGUGUGAAUUGCAUAAUUUUGUGAAUCAUCGAAUCUUUGAACGCAAAUUGCACUCCCUGGUAUUCCGGGGAGUAUGCCUGUUUGAGGGUCGUUAGAAUAAAAAUCGAAGCGUCGCUCUUUUUUUUAGGGUGAUCGCGUCGGAAUUGAGCCGUCUUUCAAAUGUUAAUUCAUGUCAAAGUGGCUUGAAAUUCAUCCAUCCGGUACGAUUAAAGCGUAUUUAAGAUCAACUUUGAUUAAGAACGCGCGAUGACGUACCAUCUCAUGUAGUACGUUUGACUUGGCGUCGUCAGGAUCAUUCGUAUACGAUACUCAACUUUUGACCUCAAAUCAGGUAAGAAUACCCGCUGAACUUAAGCAUAUCAAUAAGCGGAGGA
rnacentral:rRNA from 1 species